rnacentral:rRNA from 1 species
ACACUCCUGCGGGAGGCAGCAGUGGGGAAUAUUGGACAAUGGGCGCAAGCCUGAUCCAGCCAUGCCGCGUGAGUGAUGAAGGCCCUAGGGUUGUAAAGCUCUUUCACCGGUGAAGAUAAUGACGGUAACCGGAGAAGAAGCCCCGGCUAACUUCGUGCCAGCAGCCGCGGUAAUACGAAGGGGGCUAGCGUUGUUCGGAUUUACUGGGCGUAAAGCGCACGUAGGCGGACUAUUAAGUCAGGGGUGAAAUCCCGGGGCUCAACCCCGGAACUGCCUUUGAUACUGGUAGUCUUGAGUUCGAGAGAGGGGAGUGGAAUUCCGAGUGUAGAGGUGAAAUUCGUAGAUAUUCGGAGGAACACCAGUGGCGAAGGCGGCUCACUGGCUCGAUACUGACGCUGAGGUGCGAAAGCGUGGGGAGCAAACAGGAUUAGAAACCCCAGUAGUCCCAUG